AUGCUCACUUCAGCAGCACAUACACUAAACUGAAACAAUAUACACAUUAACAUGGCCCCUGAGCAAGCAUGACAUGCAAAUUCUUGAAGUGUUCCAUAUUUUA